rnacentral:misc_RNA from 1 species
GAAUGAAGCGGAAUGAUGUGUAUGUGUGUGGGUCACAGGGAAGGACAGUUUGGAUGCACAAAAAUCGGAAAGUUCAUCGUUGUACAAGACUCUCCUCUUUCACCCAUGGUAAGGUCAUAAUGGUCGAUGACUGUCAUUACGAACAACCUGGGGAAAAAAAAAAAACUCAAGUCGCUCUCAAAAUAGACGCCAUGCCCUGUCACUGCAUUUAUCUGUGCUUCCUCUUGUCGGCGAGCUGCUCUUUCCAUUGUUGUUGUUUUGCCUUUGUCGCUGUCAACCAGUCAGACGUGAUAUUUGGAAAGUCAUCGUUGGUGCAGACAUUAUCGGCAGAUAAUCUUUUGCCCUUUCCAGUAGUAAUAUUGACUGUCAAUGGGUAUGUAUGAGAGAGAGAAAGAGAAAGAGAGAAAGAGAGAGAGAGAGACUAUGUUAGGUCAUAUUAAAUGUCGGAACGGAGAGUUCACAACAAAAAAAAAUAAUCUGGCCGCCAAAAAAAGUGAUGUCUCUGACACCUAAUUCUGCCAGAUUCUUACCAUUUAAAAUCUGACAGUUUUAUGCAGCAAUUUCCAUUUCCAUAAAGUGCAGUUGAGCAUACGGCUAAAAUCAGUGUUAAAAUCUAGAGUAGUUAUCUCUAGUUUAACCUCCCCUUUCUUCUCUAAGUCUGACAUUUCACUCUUCUCUCCUAUUAGCGGCUCUAGAACUUUGUUUGGCUAAGCUGGCCUAAAGUAUGCACGCCGGCAUGCAGUUGGUUCAAAUCUGGAUCCAUUCGAGGGUCAGAAGGUGUGCGCUCACAGACCACAUGACGAGUUUGUCAGACAAACAACAGUAUGAACGCAGGCAACCAUCCAAGACACUCCUGAUUUCCUUUCGAGAAGAGCUAUGUUGUUUUUUGUUACUUUUUUUCUGAGUGGGUAAAUAAGUCACAACUGCCUUGUUAAAAAUAGAAACAUUUUUGAGGAAAAAAAAAGAAGAAAAUUCUGUGCAUGAUGAACGCAUCGACUUAGUGUCUUAUGGAAUCCAGGGAUUGUUAAGAAAGGCUGUACGAUGUGCCUCAUAAAAGACCCGAACAGACACAUGCUGGGAAAAUUUCGAUUUUGCAAUUGUGUGUUGCGUUGUCUCAGAUGCUGCCUACAGACCAGGCGAAAGGAACGAGAUAAAAGAAAAAAAAGGUCUAAUGUCUGAUGUCUGGAACUUGGUGGCAGACUUUACAAGCAGCCUUUUCGGUCAGGUUGCAUUAUCGCGGGGAAUGAUGUAUUACUUUCUAGAAAUGCUUCUUGUUUGUUGACGAUUGACCUCCACCUCAUGCGUGUGAAAGGACAAUCAGUUAUUCUUUGUAUCUCUCCAAGAGUCGUGAAGGCGAGGACAAGCAAUGAACACGUGGUACAUAGUAGUCUUUCCACCUGUUUGAGACAAGAUACACUGGCUGGCUGGAUGAGUUGCCCUGGUUUUACUAAUAUAUCAUCGGAUUUCGAAUGGACUCCAAAGCUGACUUGAGUUCCUUGUACCCAAGCCAGUAAACACUCCAUGUCCAUUUUCUUUUUGUUGACUGCUGGCGCCUCACACUAACCACUUCAGAGAAGACAGCCUCCACGCCAUCUCCCCAUCUUUUUUGUGGACGCACCGCCAAACACCAGCGCCGAGCGAGAACCUGUUUGGAGCAGAGAGUGCAUCUGUUGAACUGCUGAAACAAUUAACUUCUAAAACUUGUCUAAAAAAAUAACCGGAGGAAGGAUAGCUUCACUAGAGAAGCAAACAUUGCAAGGAUUUGGUUCGUCUGUACCGCCGAACUCGACCUGACACCAUAGCGCCAUCUGCCAUUUCGUGAAGGAUAAGUGUUUGAGCUUCUUCGCCGCCGCAUCUAAAAGUUGUUAUCAUCAUCGCUAAAAAAAAACCCGGUCUUACCAUCAUAGUCCUCGAUAUUAAAAAAAAAAAUCCAACCCACCUCUCUCCGGUUUUCUUGGCCCAGUGCGAGCUUGCGUUUGCCAUUCACUGCAUCUCGUGAGUCGCGUGCGGCACGACCGGGGAGGAAGCUGCUGCUGCUGCUGCUGGCUACAGAGCAUCAUUACUGUGCGGCGCUGGACACACGUUCUGCGUGCCGCUGGCGGGCUCUGUAGGGUCAGAAUCAAACCUUCACUAUCAAAUCGGUACCCUGGGAAAUCCGCGAGAACUGGAGGAAGACUCCUGAGGUAUUCGACUGUGAAGUUACAUCUUGGUCCGCACCCCCGGCGGACUACUCGCUACCUCAUGGGUUGCAAGAACAGUAAGGUUCAGCACGACCCACAGGUGGGCAACGGCAAGCCCGUGCCCACCCGCAAGAUCAGCAGCGCCGCCAACGACAUGGAGCGCAAGGUGGCGCUGGUGGACGGAGUAGUGGACAAGGACCCCAGGUCGCCCCUGGACUCGCGUCAAGCCUUCAAGGUGAAGCAGUCGUGGAAAGGGAUUAAACGCAACAUGGAGGACACGGGCGUGGAGAUGUUUUUAAGACUCUUCAAGUCCAACGCCAGCCUGCAGACGAUGUUCCACGGCUUCAAACACCUGCACAGCGACGACGAGCUGAGGUCCAACGAGGCGCUGGAGCACCAUGCCACGCUGGUCAUGACGACGCUGGACGACGCCAUCACGCACAUCGACAACUUCGACUACGUGUCGGAGGUGCUGCGGAAAACGGGAGCAUCGCACGUGCGGUUCGCAGGGUUCACGCCGGAGAAUUUCUGGAACAUGAAGGAGCCAUUCCUGGAGGCUGUGAAAAUCACUCUUGGGGACCGGUACACGGAUAACAUGGAGGCCAUCUACAGGACAACCAUCACCUUCAUUUUGCAGACCAUGAGCGAUGGCAUACAGGACGAACUUAACCUCCUGAAGCUAGGUACCCAAGUCUAGCACACACACAGAAACUGCGACUGUGUUCGUUAGCGUGUGUGUGUGCGCGUGUGCCCUGCUGACCUUUGUGAAGGUCCACUCUGGGAGUUCAACGUCAGAUGGCUGUUCAAGGGUACGACCAACUUUCAAGACUUUACUCCUCCUGUCCAGCAAAAGGCCUCCUACGGUCGUCUGCGGGCUGACAGCACGAAGGAGCGGGGAUGUGUUGCCAUCGCUCCAUGGUGAAGUGAAUCAAUGUGAAAGGCAAGGAGAGCGAUGUUGACACAGCGAAGCGGUUUGGAUACAUUGAUUACACUAGCACACUCCCUGUGCCGCUACAGAAACGUCUGCUUUGCGUCAACAAACCACCUUUGUUUUUCUUCCAAUAGGCUCUACACUGCAGAAAGCAAGCAACAGAGAGAGACCGACCCCAAACAUGUAGAUGUCGGCCACAGUUGUUGCCCUUUUUUUCUGCCGAGUUUGAUGACGUGGCAUUCUUCGCCCACGGUGUCUUCUUGAGAAUCGGAGUGGUGGAUGCAGUUCGACAGCAUCGCGGAAUAUAGACAUCGAUGAGAAUUGUACAUCAAACGAGAACUCUUUUUACCAAGGCCUUUAAGGGCAAAAAGAAUGUUAGUGCGUCAAAUGUGAAAACAAUUUCACCAUUUUUUUCUUUUCUUAGACUGUUGCUCUAAACUAUCGUGGUGUGAAUUCUCACUCACUGGAGUGUAUGUACAUCUUGUCUGAAGCUUUGCUGGCAACCGCUUCAGACAUACAAGGAACUGUUGCUUUUAAAAAAUAUUGAAAUACCGCCAUAUGUAGCAAACCCAAUUCUUCCCCCACCACCUCCAAAAAAGUGUGUGUGGAGAGAGAGAAAGAGAGAUAACAAUCGACUUUGUCAAACAGAGCAGAUGGAACGCAGGUAAAUCAGCUGCGGGCAUCGAAUUCAUUAGAGCUGAUUGUUUAUACUCAAUGAGAAUUUUAUCUCGAUUUUAUUUCGUGCACCAUUUCUCUCUCUCCACACACACAAGAGAGAGACUACUUAAAGGUGAGAAAGAAAAGAAUUCGUUCACUUGUUCCAUUGUGACUAGGUAACCAUACUUGAGUUGUACAAGGCGAAGGUUAUUGACACUGUUUUAUUAAUGGUUUCAUUAACGGUUUCGCCCUUCAUGAAGUAUUGAAUACAAUCUACCGCACGAUGACGCUGCUAUCUACGGUCCCAUGCAAGAAUCGAACCAGCGGGGUAAGACAGUGAACUUGAAAGUUUAAUGAAUCAACGAGAUCAAAGGGGAGAUAAUCUUUGUGCUACAAGACCACGUGCCACAGUGAUGGAGGCGCCAUCUUGGAACACAGGGGCCGCUACUCGCACAUCUCUGUUCUUAUUACUUGCUGCUGACACACAGAUGGACGAGAGCGGACUGAUUAUGUGAGGAGGGACCUCGGCGCUGCUGUUGCCGUGCACGCUGAUGACGUGUACAUACGAAAGCAAUAACUGGCAGAGAGCGACUAGUACAGGGGAGACUAUUGCAAGUGGAUAUUAUUAUCUGCUCUUGUCCAGCUGGAAUGGGCAACGCGUGAGGCUGGUCACAUGGGUGUAGGUGAAUGCUACUUCCGGGCAAUUUUAUCUUAGAGUGUAGAAGGGCAUUGAUGUUAUCUACGAUGAGAACUAAGGCUAACACUUCUUGUCUGGCGGCACAGUCUCCGUAAAUGUGGACAAGUAGUUUCCCCUUACAAAGUGGCGCUGUGCACCUUUAGUUGAGCGCGAGGUGUCGCUGCUAUCGUCAUUUAAAUGAGGAUGAAGAAGACGGAGCCAUGCUUUUGUAGGGAUGCUAUUUGUGGGCGAUGCGGACUUUGAAACAGCAUUCAUGUAAACACCAAUGUUUACACCAAGGGUAAACACCAAGGGCUUGAACAUUUAUUUUCUGAUCAUGAAGCAAAGUGUCAGAGAUCCUAAAGAACUCUCUAUAAUCAGUAGUUGUGUCCAAAAAUGCUGCAGUAACAUUUACGAAACGUUUUACAUUUGUAAUUGUGGUAACUAUAUCUAAGACUAACAUUCAGGAUUAUCACAAAGAUGUGUUACUAAGAUCAUGUGGCUACCAGAAGAAGAAGCACUAAAAGUCCGAAGUAUAUUUGUUACUUAGAUGUAAACAAAAUAUUUUCAUCAACCACGACUGGAAAAUGAGCAUUGUAACCCUUGAAGACUAUGCCCAGCAGUGAAUGGAAUUUUCUUGUAACCAUAACCACUAAAGAACUUGUGGACAAGUAGCUUUACAUACACAACCUGCACGUCAGAAGAAACUGUUGUUUCUAGACAGCUGGACUGCAGGUACCCCAUCUCCUUCACUUUCACUCUUUUAGAACAUUUUUGCUGUCAUUUACAAUCGCAUUUCAGUUUUAAAGUAUUCAUGCUAAUGCAUUGGAAUCUUGCUAAGAGAACAGUUUUCAUGCUCUUAGUCUGGCUGAUGUGAUCGCAUUAAAGAAUUCGUUACUACGAUGUUGCUGUUCAGGUAACAAGCCGACCGCUGUAUUGCCUUCAUGUGUCAUUGCUGCAUUGGAGAGAAGGAUAUAUAUAUAUACAUACGAAUACGUGCAUGAAUACUGUAAUAAGGUUUGGAAUGACCCAGAGCGUAUUAUGUGUCAUGUCACAUUCGUGAAGUAUGCAUAAUUUUCUUAAGUGCCCACGUAAAGUAUAUGCCUUAGUUUUGAGAUGUAUGAGAGAUGUGAGUGAGAAGAUUGAAGACAUGUAAUGUCAAGAGAGCAGCUAUAUGCUUGAGUUUACAUGUAGAUUUUGUGAAUAUUUCCUCAUAACUACUGCCUUUCAUUGUACAUCAUUUACCUCUUGCUAUAAAGGGCAGAUUUACUAGGAGAAAUGUUUCUUUUGAUGAAUGUUUAUUUGUAUAAACGUGGCGAGACUUGCUUUUGAGGACUUCCCGAACAAUGAUUUCUGUAUACAACAGUUCGUCAGCAUCUAAUGAUACACGAAAGUGCGCGUGUGUGGGAGGAUCUCUAAUGGUCAUAGACCGCGCGGAGGGACAGGGCUGUGAGAAAGGAUGAUUAAUGGCUUUCUCGACCAAAAGCUUUUAGCAUUUCUAAUAAUUUGCUUAAAAAUUUGCUAAGUAGUACUUUGAGCUUCUCCAAGUGUACUAACUUCAUUCCUCUGUGUGCAUGCGUGUGCGUGCUUGCGUACGUGAGACAAGGAUUUUAACGACUUUGAAGUUUUCACCUUUUAUUUUCGUUCACCUUGGCUUUUCUACCCACGCAUUUCUACAGCCAGCAAUCAUGGUGGGGUGGGGAUCAGAGACGUUACGUUGUAGGAAGGAAUGCAUCAGAAGAUGUUUUGGUUUCACGUCCUCGUCUUCUAAAAAAUAUAUCCUCCGUUUACUACUGGUUUCUAAAGCUAGAUAAUCUCCUAGCCAGUGCUGUAUGUUAGUUUUUCUACUUUUAGGUCGCUGAGAUCCUUGGGAUGGGGCGGUUCGGUGGCGCAACCGUUAGCGUCUGUUAUCUGUUCAGAAAGGAUUGGCUGUCCUGGGUUCAGAUCUCGUCUUGGCCACACCGUUCUUUCUCUGCACGUGGCACCUUUUUUACAGGGCUAUAUACACCAAUCCCCCCCCCCUUUGAGAUAAUAAUAAUAAUAAUAAUAAUAAUAAUAAUAAUAUCCCAGACAAGAAUAUUUUGCUACCAAAAAAAAAAAAAAUUACGUGUUCUCUUACUGAGCUUUCUUUCUCGUUUACAAAGGGAAAAACCUUCCCAGACUUCUCUCUGAUUUUUGGAAUCGUCUGCUCGUCCUUAAUGAGCUUUUAUUUGUGCUGCACUCCAGUGUUCACGCCACCUGGGUAAAAGUGUGCAAGUCAACUGACGAUCGCUGAUGUCAGCCCUCAGCCCGUCAGUUCCAACACUCGGACCUGUAAUGAUCGUCGGGAGGAGGGAGGCUGAGAGGCUGGAGGGAUGCUAAAGUUUUGCCAGAGUUUUGUAAGCUGCACAUGGGCGUGCACGUGCGGUCAGCCCAGUCUUUCAUGUUCACCAGGUCAGACACAAGGGAGGUGACCGUGCUCUUGACGUAGUUAUCGGUCUUGUCCGACAGCAGUCCUAUUGUGCUUAUGCCGCCUAUAAAGUUAUUCCCCCUUUUUCUAGCAACCUGUGCACGGUUAUGCUCCUCCGAUAGGGCAAACAGAACUCUUGCAACGUUAGACAAGUUGCGAUGAACACCAGGGUUGAGUUUUGUGUGUUUUUCAAAUAUUUUUGUGUAAAGCAUAGUUCUUCCCGUGUCAAGGAGUGGUUAUGAGUGAACCUCGGCUUGCUUUACCUUUCUCAUUUGUUUUCCUUAGUUUUUUUUAGCGUGUUGUUUCCAUGUCUGAUUUAACCUAGUCAGCAAUGUAAUUUUACGAACCAGUCGUUACAAAUGUUAGAUUAUCUUGUCUAUAAUUUCUCCCAUCCUAUUGACUCUGGUCUUUUUCAGUCAUUCACCCUUACACACACACACAGGUACAUAUUGGAUUCUGAGGACUGAAGUUAAACUAUAUGACAGCAGGAGCAAGCUAUUUCCGAACAUAUAUCCAAUGUUAAGGUAUAAGUAUUGAUAUUGCACCAUCCCACACCGUACUGACUGAACGCACCAUAAACAGUCCCUGAGUGACAUCGGUGUCUCUCUGUACCACCACCUUCUACAUGGCGUACUUCCACAUUCCCUAGCGAGCAAACUCUUGUAUUGAUCUACAUAUUUCUACGCCAACCAUCUGUCUUGCAUUGUUUGCCCCCAGAACACACGGAGUCUGCCUGGCAAAGCUCUCGUUUUUGCUUGCGAAGCAGCAGCAGCAGCAAAAGAAGUCAUUCAAGGUUAAAUUUUCUGUUCUGUCACGAGUAUCACGAGGUCUCUCGUUGCUUAGCAACGAGGCCGUCUGCGCCGAGCACCGUGUUUGCUGACUGCAAGUGUUGUUGAAGUUUGCCUUUUAAGCAAUAUCGCUAUGGAAGAGACCUCUUAUGCACGUGGUUGAAAAAAACGAAAAUUUUAAAUGUUAAAAAUAGUCACGAAUACACCGUUUGACAUACAGAGCUUUCAGUCUGUCACACCAAAGAUUCGGUAGCAGCAAGUUAUAUCCUGACCAUUUAGUUAGGCCAACUGGCUGAAGGAUGCUUUUUGCGAGAUUUUGUCUUUAAGUUUGUUUUUGGGGGUUUGUUUUUGUUUUGUUCUGGUGAAUGGGCUGUGAUAAAAAUAGUUUGAUUUUUUUUCGCUUUUGCUGUAUUUUAGUACAUAGUAGACUUGAUGAUACGCAAACAUAAGCAAGUUGUAAUCGGUUUUCUGGUGAUGAUAAUAAAUAUUACCAACACACUACAGCGCAAACAUUUUACCAUAUAGUAAUAGAAAAGUACGCGGUGCUCUCUAUGGUCAUGACCUGGUGUAAAGUGACCUCAAUCCUUAAAGUUUUCAAACACACACACUAAAACAUUUUUUUUUAAAUUUUUUUUUAAACAGUGAAGUUUAGAAUACGACAGGUGAUAGCUGAGGCAAUUGAUUGAUAGCAUGUGUCCUCUUAUGCUUAGUACAUACAUUUGUACAACACGUAGAUUACUUCUGUACUUUCAACUUACCUGUAAAUUGGAUCUUCCUGAACCUGGACAGGACUUAAGAAGAUGGACAUGAUGUUGAAAUAAGUAUACAGCAUUCUUCUGUGUCAAUCACCCUAAGUUGAGAACGAAACAAUAUUCAUGAGAUCACCAGUUUGCAAAGUUAGGCUGUCAAUUUUUUUUUUUUGGUCUUUAGACUGUUCUUAACUAGACAAAGGAUUUGUUUGUUUGUUUGUGUUUAAUGCCGUGCCAGCAACUGGAGCUAGACAAAGGAACAUUUACCCUAGUUUGGCAAAUUUUAUGCACGAUGGCUUUAUAAAAACUUCACUUAACUCGGUUCAAUAUUCGUCGAUAUUUUGCCGGUGAAAACACAGCAUUUAGGUCUUGAGUGCUUAGAUUGAAAGAACUACUGCAUGCCAGCUCCCAUCAAUUGACUGACAGGUGCUUAACGUCUUUGUUCCAGCCAGCUGCUUAUAUACGCACAAUUUCUCGCAGAAAACUACGACAUUUGACAGGUUUAUGGUUUUAAAUGGUAACAACAAUGAUGCCUAAACACUGCUAAUAGAGAGUAGAAGACUUUCUGAAACAUUUUUACAAGAGAGUUGAUGUAUUCAGUUUGUGUUAUGUUAUAUGCAUUAUAUUUAAAGGUUUGUGUGUUUGUUUGUUUUUUCUCUUCGGCACAAAUUUGACUUUCUGAGGCUGCAGCGGAGUGCCCAUUCAACCAAUGUGAAGGCUAGUUUUGAAUCCAGACGGAAGUUACGUCAAGAAACAUGCGCAGUACCUUUCUGCGCUUUUGAAAAAAAAAAAUCAAUGGCGUAGAACUAGGUUUGGGGUAAGGGUAUGGUGUGAGGGCAUCAACUCAACUGGCGAAACAGACGACUUGGCGUCACACCAUAUCGAUAUCUUCGCACCCGGCUUCGCCAUUUGUGGCCAGCGCCACGUAGAUUGAUUGGACGUUGAACUGCUGACCCCAUCAAGUCAAAUUUGUUCUUUUUUUUGUUUUGUUUUCAAAUGUGUCAACAGUGAUUGUCUGAUAAGGUCAGACAGACUAUUAUAGUGCUCUCAAGGGUCAGGGCAGCUCAGGGUGGGGACAGCUGCAUACGAGGCAGACGGGCAUUGCAUUUCACGCUUGUGGCACGAGUGAAAUCACGGCAUUAGUUUUAAAAAACUGCACAAAGUCUACGUCUGGGGGUAGUAGUUCCACGUGCCAUUACCGCUUGGUGACCAGGGUCCGAUUGUGGGUCACGAUGGUUUAUUAAAUAUUUGAUAUUUGCUGUACAAGUCUAGCAGAUGCUGCCUUUCGUUACAUUGUUCUGUAUCUUUUAUUUCAUGUAGGACUGUAUGAUCUUGCAAUCGCAACAGCUAAGUCAUUAUGUCCGUGCAGAAGCGAGAGAGAGAUUGUGUCUGUGUAUAAAUGUGUUGGUAUGUGUACAAACUGGUAAUACAUCAUCAUAUGAGCCUGUAUACAUGUACUCAUGCAUGACACAGACGUAUUUUUUUGUGUGUGUAACGACUGCCGCACCAUUUACCUGUAAAGUCCUGUCUGACGAACCAGGCAAGUAAAGGAAGUCACUACAUUU